AUUAAUUAUACAAAUGAUUAAGGCUGGUAUUUUUUUCCAAGAAAGGUGGCAACCUUAACUACUCUUCACAUACUCUUGCUUAAAGGAGCACUAUAAUGUCAGGAACACAAUCAUGUAUUUCUUAACCUAUUAUGUUAAAACCACCACCCUGGUCCCUUCUUGCCUCCCUAAAUAUAGUAAAAUAUUACUUGUAUUCAAUUCUGCAGCUUGUAUUCACUUCCCCAUAGGAUUGGCUGAGACUGUCAACUAGGCAGAUCAGGGGCAGAGCCAGCACAAGUCCAACAUAGCCCUGGCCAAUCAGCA